rnacentral:rRNA from 1 species
GACGAACGCUGGCGGCGUGCUUAACACAUGCAAGUCGAACGGAAAGGCCCUGCUUUUGUGGGGUGCUCGAGUGGCGAACGGGGGAGUAACACGUGAGUAACCUGCCCUUGACUUUGGGAUAACUUCAGGAAACUGGGGCUAAUACCGGAUAGGAUCUCCUGCUGCAUGGUGGGGGUUGGAAAGUUUCGGCGGUUGGGGAUGGACUCGCGGCUUAUCAGCUUGUUGGCGGGGUAGUGGCUUACCAAGGCUUUGACGGGUAGCCGGCCUGAGAGGGUGACCGGCCACAUUGGGACUGAGAUACGGCCCAGACUCCUACGGGAGGCAGCAGUGGGGAAUAUUGCACAAUGGGCGGAAGCCUGAUGCAGCAACGCCGCGUGCGGGAUGACGGCCUUCGGGUUGUAAACCGCUUUCGCCUGUGACGAAGCGUGAGUGACGGUAAUGGGUAAAGAAGCACCGGCUAACUACGUG